rnacentral:rRNA from 1 species
CGCCUCUUGACCCCCCCAUAAGAGGUCCAGCCUGCCCAGUGACUUCUGUUCAACGGCCGCGGUAUCCUAACCGUGCGAAGGUAGCGCAAUCAUUUGUUUCUUAAAUAGGGACUAGUAUGAAAGGCAUCACGAGGGCCUAACUGUCUCCUUUUUCCAAUCAGUGAAACUAAUCUCCCCGUGAAGAAGCGGGGAUAUUUUUAUAAGACGAGAAGACCCUAUGGAGCUUUAAACUCUACGACACCUGCCUUCUACUACUUUCUUUUCAGAAAACUCCCCCUCCUUUGGUACCCUGUCUACGAGCUUUCGGUUGGGGCGACCCCGGAGAAUAACUUAUCCUCCGUAAUGAACAGAUUUAUCUUUAGCAAAAAUCUACAACUUUAAGCAUCAGUAAAACUGACAUACAUUGACCCAAAAAUUUGAGCAACGAACCAAGUUACCCUAGGGAUAACAGCGCUAUCCACUUUGAAAGUUCCUAUCGACAAGUGGGCUUACGACCUCGAUGUUGGAUCAGGGUAUCCUAGUGGUGCAACCGCUACUAAAGGUUUGUUUGUUCAACAAUUAAAACCC